CAGUAGCCACGGUAAUGCGAAGGGGGCUAGCGUUGUUCGGAUUUACUGGGCGUAAAGCGGGCGCAGGCGGUUUCUUAAGUCUGAUGUGAAAGCCCCCGGCUCAACCGGGGAGGGUCAUUGGAAACUGGGAAACUUGAGUGCAGAAGAGGAGAGUGGAAUUCCACGUGUAGCGGUGAAAUGCGUAGAGAUGUGGAGGAACGCCAGUGGCGAAGGCGACUCUCUGGUCUGUAACUGACGCUGAGGAGCGAAAGCGUGGGGAGCGAACAGGAUUAGAUACCCGGGUAGUCCCUGUCUCUUAUAC
rnacentral:rRNA from 1 species